CCCUUAGACGUUCUGGGCCGCACGCGCGCUACACUGACCAGUGCAACAAGCAUCCGUCCUUGGCCGACAGGCCCGGGCAAUCUUUGAACGCUGGUCGUGAUGGGGAUAGACUUUUGCAAUUUUUGGUCUUCAACGAGGAAUUCCUAGUAAACGCAAGUCAUCAACUUGCAUUGAUUACGUCCCUGCCCUUUGUACACACCGCCCGUCGCACCUACCGUUUGAAUGGUCCGGUGAAGCCUCCGGAUUGGCGCGCACCUCGGUGCCGCCGAGAAGUUGGCUAAACCUUACCAUUUAGAGGAAGGUGAAGUCGUAACA
rnacentral:rRNA from 1 species